UACGUAGGGGGCAAGCGUUACUCGGAUUUAUUGGGCGUAAAGAGAAUUCAGGCGGUCAUGUAAGUCAGUGGUGAAAUCCCUCGGCUCAACUGAGGAAUUGCCUCUGAUACUGCGUGACUUGAGGACAGGAGAGGAAGGCGGAAUUCCCGGUGUAGCGGUGGAAUGCGUAGAUAUCGGGAGGAACACCUGAGGCGAAGGCGGCUUUCUGGACUGGUCCUGACGCUGAUAUUCGAAAGCUAGGGGAGCAAACAGG
rnacentral:rRNA from 1 species